AUUGAACGCUGGCGGAGUGCUUUACACAUGCAAGUCGAACGGCAGCACGGGGGCAGCCCUGGUGGCGAGUGGCGAACGGGUGAGUAAUACAUCGGAACGUGCCCGGUCGUGGGGGAUAACGUAGCGAAAGUUACGCUAAUACCGCAUACGAUCUGAGGAUGAAAGCGGGGGACCUUCGGGCCUCGCGCGAUCGGAGCGGCCGAUGUCAGAUUAGGUAGUUGGUGGGGUAAAGGCCUACCAAGCCGACGAUCUGUAGCUGGUCUGAGAGGACGACCAGCCACACUGGGACUGAGACACGGCCCAGACUCCUACGGGAGGCAGCAGUGGGGAAUUUUGGACAAUGGGCGCAAGCCUGAUCCAGCCAUUCCGCGUGCAGGACGAAGGCCUUCGGGUUGUAAACUGCUUUUGUACGGAACGAAAAGGCUCUGGCUAAUACCUGGGGCUCAUGACGGUACCGUAAGAAUAAGCACCGGCUAACUACGUG
rnacentral:rRNA from 1 species